GACGAACGCUGGCGGCGUGCUUAACACAUGCAAGUCGAACGGAAAGGCCCUGCUUUUGUGGGGUGCUCGAGUGGCGAACGGGUGAGUAACACGUGAGUAACCUGCCCUUGACUUUGGGAUAACUUCAGGAAACUGGGGCUAAUACCGGAUAGGAGCUCCUGCUGCAUGGUGGGGGUUGGAAAGUUUCGGCGGUUGGGGAUGGACUCGCGGCUUAUCAGCUUGUUGGUGGGGUAGUGGCUUACCAAGGCUUUGACGGGUAGCCGACCUGAGAGGGUGACCGGCCACAUUGGGACUGAGAUACGGCCCAGACUCCUACGGGAGGCAGCAGUGGGGAAUAUUGCACAAUGGGCGGAAGCCUGAUGCAGCAACGCCGCGUGCGGGAUGACGGCCUUCGGGUUGUAAACCGCUUUCGCCUGUGACGAAGCGUGAGUGACGGUAAUGGGUAAAGAAGCACCGGCUAACUACGUGCCAGCAGCCGCGGUGAUACGUAGGGUGCGAGCGUUGUCCGGAUUUAUUGGGCGUAAAGGGCUCGUAGGUGGUUGAUCGCGUCGGAAGUGUAAUCUUGGGGCUUAACCCUGAGCGUGCUUUCGAUACGGGUUGACUUGAGGAAGGUAGGGGAGAAUGGAAUUCCUGGUGGAGCGGUGGAAUGCGCAGAUAUCAGGAGGAACACCAGUGGCGAAGGCGGUUCUCUGGGCCUUUCCUGACGCUGAGGAGCGAAAGCGUGGGGAGCGAACAGGCUUAGAUACCCUGGUAGUCCACGCUGUAAACGGUGGGUACUAGGUGUGGGGUCCAUUCCACGGGUUCCGUGCCGUAGCUAACGCUUUAAGUACCCCGCCUGGGGAGUACGGCCGCAAGGCUAAAACUCAAAGGAAUUGACGGGGCCCCGCACAAGCGGCGGAGCAUGCGGAUUAAUUCGAUGCAACGCGUAGAACCUUACCUGGGUUUGACAUGGAUCGGGAGCGCUCAGAGAUGGGUGUGCCUCUUUUGGGGUCGGUUCACAGGUGGUGCAUGGCUGUCGUCAGCUCGUGUCGUGAGAUGUUGGGUUAAGUCCCGCAACGAGCGCAACCCUUGUUCACUGUUGCCAGCACGUUAUGGUGGGGACUCAGUGGAGACCGCCGGGGUCAACUCGGAGGAAGGUGGGGAUGACGUCAAGUCAUCAUGCCCCUUAUGUCCAGGGCUUCACGCAUGCUACAAUGGCUGGUACAGAGAGUGGCGAGCCUGUGAGGGUGAGCGAAUCUCGGAAAGCCGGUCUCAGUUCGGAUUGGGGUCUGCAACUCGACCUCAUGAAGUCGGAGUCGCUAGUAAUCGCAGAUCAGCAACGCUGCGGUGAAUACGUUCCCGGG
rnacentral:rRNA from 1 species